UGCGUAGGCGGUUACCUAAGUCAGGUGUGAAAUCUCUCGGCUCAACCGGGAAACUGCGCUUGAAACUGGGUGACUGGAGUGAGGCAGGGGUGUAUGGAACUUCCGGUGGAGCGGUGAAAUGUGUAGAUAUCGGAAGGAACGCCAGCAGCGAAAGCGGUACACUGGGCCUUUUCUGACGCUGAGGCACGAAAGCUAGGGGAGUGAACGGGAUUAGAUACCCCGGUAAUCCUAGCCGUAAACACUGAGCACUGGAGGAGGGCGGCUUCGGCCGUCUUUCUCGUAGCGAAAGCGUUAAGUGCUCCGCCUGGGGAGUAUGGUCGCAAGGCUGAA
rnacentral:rRNA from 1 species